AGGGCUCAGUUUUGCCUUUCAUCUUCAAGCCCAACACUCGCAUCUCUUGCUGCAUAAUCUACCCAUCACGAUGUAAAAGAACUGCCCUGGUUAUCAUUCAUCAGAAUGACCGUCCAAGUAGCAGAACAUCCAACAUUAGCGAUGAAUUGAACAGGCUGCAAGAGAGGUAAGGGUGUGCUCUAAUUUAGUACCCAUAGGCCACAGCUCUUAAUUGCUCAAGACAGGCUUAUUUCAGCCACGGUCAUCAUCAUUGCCCCUGGUAAGGACUCCAUCUCUUCAUCACACAGUAGCAUGCAUACAUCAUCCAUCCAUCCAUCCAUCAGGCUGGUCGUAGUGGUAAGUAACUUGUCGCAUCCAUGAUAUCCAUUACAGGCAUGCACACAUCCAUCCAUCCAUCCUCUUUAAUUACUUGUCACAUGAUCUUUUUUGCCUAUGUGGCAUGCAUGUUACUACUCCCUCCGUUCCAUAAUUACUGUUGUGGUUUUAGUUCAAAUAGUUCAAUUUGAACUAAAACCUAAGUUACUCCCACUAUGACUAGUCUCAGUCUCAGGAGCUGCUCGUACCUGGCCUCGACCGCCCAGUGUGGACGACGCAUCAGAUAAUGCCUUACGGUUCCCAGCCCACACCACAACCAAAUCCAAGGCAAUGAAAUGGCAGUGGCUGGCAGCACCGUAGAGACGGGGAACUGACGUGGCAGCCACCCGGACAAUGGGGUAGCAAGUCGGCAAUGAGAGCUUUGCUGAUUUGUUUAGGGCUUGAGAGAGAGAGAGAGAGAGAGAGAGAAAGGUGAGGAGGAUUCAUACCGAAUCCAAAACAAAAUGCAACUGAACUGAGCAAAAGAGGGCUCAGUUUUGCAUUUCAUCUUCAAACCAACACUCACACCUCUUGCUGCAUAAUCUAUCCAUCGCAGUGUAAGAGAACUGCCCUGGUUAUCACUCAUCAGAACGACCAUCCAAGGCACAGAACAUCCAACAUCCGCGAUGAAUUGGACAGGCUGCAAGAGAGGCAAGGGUGGGCUAAAGAGUAACUCCAACGCAGAUACCAAUUUUCUUGCACUGUUUAGUCCCACCUCGCCAAGGCUGUCUUGAUUGCUCAAGACAUGAUUAUUUCAGCCACAGUCAUCAUCAUCGGCAUCGCCCCUAGCAACAUAACCAUGAAUCCAUACAUAUAUGCAUGCAUACAUCCAUCUAUCCAUCCAUCCUGCUCAGGAGUUGCUCAUACCUGGCCUCGACCGACCAAAACUCCGGCUCCGACGACGCAUCAGAAGACACCGUACGGUUCCCAGCCGACGGGCACAACCAAAUCCAAGGCAAUGGGACGGCGGUGGCAGGCAGCACCGUAGCGGUGGGGAACUGAACUGACGCGGCGUACAUCCGGACGAUAGGUCAGUCAGCGAUCCGGCAACAAGAGCUCGCCUGAUUUGUUUUAAAAAUAUACUCCCUCCGUUCGGAUCAAGUGUCGUGGUUUUAGUUCACGACACAUGAAUGCAUCCAUUCAUCCAUCCUUCUCAGGAGCUGCUCAUACCUGGCCUCGACCGACCAAACCUCCCGCACGGACGACGCAUCAGACGUCAUCCUACGGCCCCCAGCCCACGCCACAACCGAAUCCAAGCCAAUGGAAUGGCGGUGGCUGGCCGCACCGUAGCAGCGCUGGGUCAGCGAUCCGGCAACGAGAGCUUGGCUGAUUCGGUUUAGGAUUUACUGGUGUGAACUCUAAGCGCGCGCGCGCACAGAGUGAGCGAGUGUGUGAGAGUCUGAGAGAGAGAGAGAGAGAGAUGGGGGGACCGUACCGGAUCCAAAGCAAAACGCAGCCAAGCUGCGAGAAAUCCAUCGACGGCGGCUCAGAUCCCGCGCCGGCCCGACCAAGCCCUCGACCGCAGCGCGCCAUGGGCCCCGCCGCUCGGUCCCCAGCCCGCACGGCCGCAGACGCCUCCCGCAUCCAUCCAUCCUCUUUAAUUACUUGCCAGUCAUUUUUGCCUAUGUGUCAUGAAUGUUACUACUCCCUCUGUUCCAUAAUUCAGUUACUCCCACUAUGACUAGUCUCAGUCUCAGGAGCUGCCCAUACCUGGCCUCGACCGACCAAACAUCCUGGUGUGGACGACUCAUCAGACAACGCCUUACGGGACCCAGCCCACGCCACAACCAAAUCCAAGGCAAUGGAAUGGCAGUGGCUGGCAGCACCGUAGAGACAGGGAACUGACGUGGCAACCACCGGGACGAUGGGUCAGCGAGUCGGCAAUGAGAGCUUGACUGAUUUGUUUUAGGGGUUGAGAGAGAGAGAGGUGAGGAGGAUUCAUACCGAAUCCAAGACAAAAUGCAACUGAACCGAGCAUAUGUAGCGUAGCAAAACAAGGCUCAGUUUUGCAUUUCAUCUUCAAACCCAACACUCACAUCUCUUGCUGCAUAAUCCACCCAUUGCCAUGUAAGAGAACUGCCCUGGUUAUCACUCAUCAGAAUGACCAUCCAAGGCAAAGAACAUCCAACAUUGGCAAUGAAUUUGACAGGCUGCAAGAGAGGCAAGGGUGGGCUCUAAGGCCAACUCCUUUUUUCUGGCACUGUUUAGUCCCACCUCGCCGAGCUGUCUUGAUUGCUCAAGACAUGAUUAUUUCAACCAGUCAUCAUCAUCGGCAUCGCCCCUCCUUUUUUUCCAAAAAGGAGGUUGAACCCCCGAGCAACAUGACCAUGAUAUCCAUACAUAUAUGCAUGCAUACAUCCAUCUAUCCAUCCAUCCUGCUCAGGAGUUGCUCAUACCUGGCCUAGACCGACCAAAACUCCGGCUCCAACGACGCAUCAGACAACACCGUAAGGUUCCCAGCCCAUACGCACAACCGAAUCCAAGGCAAUUGGACGGCGGUGGUAGCGGUGGGGAACUGACGCGGCGGACAUCCGGAAAAUAGGUCAGCAAUCCGGCAACGAGAGCUCGCCUGAUUUGUUUUAAAAAUAUAAUCCGGCAACGACACAUGAAUGCAUCCAUUCAUCCAUCCUUGUCA
rnacentral:lncRNA from 1 species